rnacentral:lncRNA from 1 species
GACAGGGUCUCCCUCUGUUGUCCAAGGCUGGAGUGUAGUAGUGCUAUCACAGCUGACUGCAGCCUCAACCUUCCAGGCUGAAGCGAUCCUCCCAUCUCAACCUCCCACGUGGCUGAGACUACAGGCGCUUGCCACUAUGCCCAACUAAUAUUUGGAAUUUUCCUAUACGUGGAUUCCAGAGGGGUGACAGCGAAACGUGGGACCAUCCAGUUGCAGGAAAACGAGCUUAACACGCCCACUGAUUCUACAUUAUGCUCCUACCUCCCGGCAGCCUCUCCAGGCCCAGAACUUUCUCCAGUCGGCCUCCACAGACCAAGCUCAUGACUCACAAUGGCCUAUUUAGGCCCAUACCCUACCUCACGGCAGUCUCCGCAGAUGAGGCUACUGCCUCACAACAGCCUCCACAGGCACAGCUCCAUCGUUACAAUGGCCUCUUUAGACCCAGCUCCUGCCUCCCAGCCUUCUCUCUAGGCCCUGAACUUUCUCAAGUCGACGUCACCAGGCCCAGCUCAUGCUUCUUGGCAGCCUCUCCAGGCCCAGCUCUUCCUCCCGGCGGCCUCUGCAGGCCCAGACUGUCAUCAAGUCGGCCUGUCCAGGGCCAGCUCCUGCCUCCCGGCGCCCUCUGCAGGCCCAAGUCGUCCUCAAGUUGGCCUCCCCAGGCCCAGCUCCAGCCUCUCGGCGGCCUCUCCGGGUGCAAAAGUUCCUCGAGUCAGCCUCUCCAGGCCCAGCUCCUCCUGCCUCCCAGUGCCUCUUUCGGCCCAGCCCAGCUCAUGCCUCUGGGCGGCCUUCCCAGGCCCCGCUUUUGACUUUUGGCGGCCUCUGCAGGCCUCGACAAGGCCCGGCCUCCUGCCUCCCGAAGCCUGCACAGGCCCAGCCUCUGCCUCACAGCAGACUCUCCACGCCCAGCUAGCUCUCGCCUCACUGCGGCCUCCCCAGUCCAAAGCUCCUGCCUCUCGGCCGCU